UAAUUGACUCAAAUUUUUAGCCAAAUUCUAAUUUCCCUCUAUCCUAGAAACUGACGCCAAAUUCUAAUUUAACUCUCUAGAGUCCAGAUCAACUCUCCAUUCUUCUCUUCUUCUGUGUUUUUUUUUUUUUUUGCUUCUCAGUCUCCACCAAAAAUAGAGAAAAAAAAAACCCAAACCCUCACCCCUGGCUUCGAUUAACCAUGCAAAAGCCAAGCCGGUGUCUUUUCCAGAUUUGAAUAUAUGCAAGUCGACUAUAAGAACUGUUUACGGCUUCAAUCUCUUCUCUUCGGAACCGAACUCGCCGCCGAGAGAAAUGACUUCUCCUCCGCUCAGAUCUGCAGUCUUCGUCCCACAGUCCCACUCGAUCUCAGCUCGACCAUGCUUUCGUCAGCCUCAUUCUCUGCAAAGCCGUCUCCAAGCUCGGUGAGGCUCGUUGUCCGCGCAUUUCUGAUUCUGAUUGAGUUGGGAUUGAGAUUCUGCUUCGUACAUUUAAGCUGUCUCACAGAGAGUGCUACUUUUUGCUGCUCGAUCUUAAGUGCAAUCUGCAAGAAGGGAUGGAGGGAAAUCCUUCUGCUAAAACCAUGAAGAAUGUUUCAAGAGGCAUGGCUGUUCUUACAGUUUUGUUUACCAUGGGCUUUCCAAAGAGUGGAGCAUGAGUUCCAAGGUUCAAUUCCCAAGAGCUGCGUGCAUUGUCAAUUUAUGUUCUCAAAGCAUCUUGCACUGCCCGUUGAAUUCAACGAAUUGGCUAUGUGGCUGUUCAUAUCUAGAUAAGUAUAUGAAAUGUUUCAGUUGUUAUAAAUAUUGUUCGGUUAAUCUCUGUUGGAAGUUAUGCUAAUCAAAUGUGUUGAAUGCCAAAAUAUUCCCCAAGGCAGUUUCAUCUUUCAAUCGCAUGGCGGUUAGUUCCACAAGGAGGGCGAUCACCUCGUGAAAAUUUUCCCUGAAAAUAUGCAGGACAUUCCACAGGAUGAGAACUCCAAAGAUCAGUUUCUAAUUCAAUCCAAGUCAGGGGUACCCAGGUUUUAUGGAAUAAUGUGCAGAAAUUGAAAUCUGAGCCCGUGUACAAGAAUUCUGUGAGUUAACAUCCUACCUUAGUGGCCAUUAAUGUCUUUUCCCAUAAAUCUGACUGAUUAAUUUCGUGACCGAAAGCGAUAGUCACAUAAUGGUCUGAUACAACUCUUGAAUUCUGUUGCAUGCAUUUUUAAAGGCUUGUGGUAGUGGUCGGAGUUUAUCAGUUUGGAACCUUCCUGCUUCUGAAUGCAUUUAAAGGACUUCAACUCGUGCAUAUGUACAGGAUGUAGUAUUUGAUGAAAAUCAAAUAUUAGUAGUUGGAGCAGAGCCUCUACUUAGCCGUUUUGAGAUAAAUGAGGCGAUUCUUUCACAAAUGCAAUGUGCUCCUCCCCAGUCAGCCUUUUCUGUCUCAUUACAUACAUCUGGGGUUACAACAAUAGGAGGUUAUGGAGGAGUUGUGGAUGUUAUUUCCCAGUUCGGAAGCCAUUUGUGCACGGUUGGCUGAAAUGUGUUUAGAUAGAGCUCACUCUUGUCUUCAGAUAUGGUGUGCUCGAAACCUGAAAGCAGCGGAGGUGUUCUUCUCUAUGGACCCUCGGGAAUAGAAAAGACAUUGCUAGCCAGAGCAAUUGCAAGCAACAUAGAUGCUAACUUUCUAAAGUUAUGGCACUUGAUAUGCGGUCCAGAAGAGCAAAGAGAUUAUUAGAAGAGCAUGAUGGUGAGAAUUGUAAAGGUGAAGAAGAAGUGCAAGCAAUGGACAAUUGUCACAGACUUUGUCCGCUGAUAGCUGAAACUGGAAAUAUUGGUUUUGCUAUGCAAGCAAUGCAUCAGAGUAAAUCAAUGAAAUCAAGAAAUGAUGAACCACUUAUGGGAAAUUUUGUAUCAAACUGCUCAAGGCUUUGAACUGAGAUGGUGGAAAUGAAAGGCAAUGUGCAGUCAUUGGGAGAUCAAGCUUGGAACACCCAGCAAGUUGUAUUAUUAUUUAUCAUUAUGUAAACCUUAUGAAAUUAGAAAGCUUGUUAAGCUAAUGAAAUGGAUUAAUGCUUUAUGAAAUUGCCUUUGUUGAAUCUAUUGGAAUUUAUUAUGAAAGUUGCUUUUAGUAAAA